AACAUUUUGGUGGUGUCGGUUGGAAAACCCAAAGAAAGUGUCACUGUUUGCUGAAAGCUAGUGAUUGUACGUUAAAAUAGGGAACUACUUUGUAUGCGGCACGCGGAGUAGUACAGUAGCGAACUACAGUAGCGCGAGAUAAAAGACUCGAACAAGGGCGUAGGCAACGGGAGUUGCGAGAAGAUGGAGGACUGCGGAUGUGCGGGCGCGAAUUGUGCGGCGAUGAAGUGUGGAAUACUGAGAUGGCAGAAGGAUGGUGUUGGUUGAAGGUUCAGAUGGUUUUCUCAAGUCAGGUCUGUAUUAAUUAGAGUAAUGUAAAUUAACCUUAACUUGUGAUGAAACUCACUUGUUUUGUAAAAGAAAAUUGAUUAAAACAUAGUACUAGAUCAUAUGUAAGACAACUGUAUUCGGGAAAUAAACAAGAAAAAUUUGAUCAA